CCGUUUUACAAUACAUCUGGACGCAAGGAAUAGUUUUCCAUUAUGACUAUUUAAAGGUGGCUCUUGAGGCGCAGUGUCUCUCCCUCGUUCUGUUUACCAAACUGCGGAGAACUCCAAUUAUUUAAUUCUGGUUUCGUUUUCUCUCCACGUCUGGGUCCUUUGACCACCCACAGUCAACCUUCUUCUCUAAAGAUUCAGGUAUGCUCUCUGCUCAAAAAUUCAUCAUCUUUAACCAGCAAUUAUGGUGAUCAAGCUCCAAUUUACGCGUCAAAUCCCAUUUAUCUGAUAAUUAUCUAUUUUAUUAAAAGAAGAAAAAAGGGAUUUUCGUGAAUAAAUAAGGAUGUGCUUGGUUUCUAAUAUAUCUUUUGAUGGGGUUAAUUCUUGUGGCAUUGGGAGAAGAUUCUGUUCCAUGUAAUCAUAAGAAUAGUUUUUAAUUUUCUUAUAAUUUUUAUGUUUUGAGUUCAUGAUUGUGUUUUGUUUAAUUGAUUGAUGUUUUUCUUUUGUAAUACAAUUGAUUUUUUUCCCCUUAUGUUUUUGUGUCCUAUUUCUUGCUGCGGUUGAUUAUGUUUUAAGCAUUUUUUGUAAUAUGGGAUAAACAACCUUGAAAUUCAUGUUUUAGGGCUUCAAAAUUUGAGAUAGUACAUCCCAAAACCUAAAUAAAACAGCUAAAAUAAACCCCUUUAAGAAGUACUCUUUUGGCAUGGUGUGUAAUCAUUGACUAGUGCAAUUUCAAUGUCAAGGUUCAAGCUCUCAUUUUUUAACUAUCUUAAGAUUAAAAAUGUUUGUGCAUUGAUCUUGACUCUUUAUUUCUCUUGAUGGAAAACUAUGUAUUUCAAGUCAAAUAUUUGAUUUGGGAUCUAAGUUGCACAAACAACUUUCUAGUAACCAAGGUAUCUAUGAUGGGCAUUAGUCCUUCAUGUACCCUUGUGUGGUAUCGAAUAUUGGUAAUUAUACUGAACACCCUUGUGGUUUUCUUAACUUACACAAGCCAUUCUUCUAGUUUGAAUGAUUCAUGAACUGGCUGUUAAAUAAAUUUUGUAAUAAUCCAAUUCAAUUUUGCUCAAUUGAAAUAAAUCGUUACUUCUGUUGUUUUAGCAACAAAGCUCAGCGUUCUAAUGCAAUAAUAACAUAUGGAUUGCUUUAUUGUCUAUACCACAAAAUGGCAAUGUGGUUUGUGUAGAUUUCAAACUAGAGGAAUCGUUUCUUUGAUUCAAGGUGGUAGUAUACUUCUCUUUUAACUUCCUACAAAAAGAAAAAAAAAAUUAAAUCAACUUGUGGUCAUUUGGAUUUUGGUACUUGGAUCAAGUUUUUACUAAUAGUUUGUCAACUACCAUACUUAGGUGACUUUCUUAUUAAACAAUAUAUUAUUUAUGAUUUUAUUGUGUAUUUACUUGAUUUUAGAUGAUGUAAAGCAUUAGAGAUGACACCAUUCAAUGUAAACCAUGGAAUUAUUUGAUUCAUUCUCUUUGUUUUCCAUUGGCCUCACAUGUGAAGUCUUGAAUUGGAUCCUCUAUUUCUAUUGUAGUUUACAGUUAUUUGUUAUAUUGCAACCUUUAUUGUAUUCUCAAAAGAAAGUUUCCCCCUCCCUGCCAUUACUCUAACUUAAUUAGUUUGGUUGUGGAUUUUGCAAUUACACUUGAAAGAUCUAAUUUUUUUGCAAUAGUUUUAGAAUUAUGGAUAUUGAAGGGCAAAGUAAAUCAAUUCAAACACCAUCUAUGUGAAAAGGAUUGGAGGAGGCUAAAUGGACCAAAAAUUAAGUAAGUAAGAAAGGAACUGUGGAAGGGUUGCUGUUUUAUUCUUGAAGGAAGGGUUGCAAUGUAAAGGACCACGUAUAUUGUAAAUGGAACCUUUCGUUUAAGGUAAAGAUAUGGAAUAAUGCUUAAGCAUGCCAUGCUUUUUGAUAGCUUACCUAUUGUAUGUCAAUUCCUUUCCUGUUUUUGGGGUACUUCCAAACUAAUUCAGACUUAUUGAAAUUAGUGGCUUGUUUAAAGAAAAGCAAUAGGUUCCUUUACUUUUAUUUCUUUAGAUGUGCACGUUUUGGGGACUCUUCCUUCGAUGCUCUAAAAUUACUUGAGGGCUUUGAGAGACAGGGGUAGAUGCUUGAUGAGGAUUAGCGUAAUACGGAAUGAUGCAAUUUUUGUUGGGUGGGUUUUCCUAAGGCUUUUGAAGAUAAUUCCCUUCGUUAAUGAAAUAUCAUAUUUUUUUGGCAUGUUUUGUACUGUUGUUAGUUGUGUUUUGAAAUAGUUUAUUCACAUUCUGUUUAUUAUGUAUUUAUAUUUCCUGAGAAGGGGGAGGGGUCGUGGUCGCUGGUCUAGUCCAGGCUGGAAAUCACAGUUCUGGUUUGGAUCAGACCGCAUAGGGCCGCUUCCCAGCAGUUCUGGUCCUGGUGAUUCUAGUUCUAGUUCAAAGUCAGGCUGGACGGAGGUUGGUUCUCUUUCUUCACAGAUUCCUGUGCUUGAAUUUCUUCUAUUAAAGGGGGCCAUGGGACAUAGACACUUAUCUGAUGCAUCACAAUUCAUUGAGAUAGGUCAGGAUCAUAUCCAAAAUCAUAUUGCUUCUGGACGGUCUUAUACUCAUAUGGGUACCAUAACUUUGCUUUCAUAUAUUCACUAACUAUGCCUUUGCUUUUUUUCAAUUUAUUGUGCUAACAGUUCUUACUUAAAUGUUAAGACUGCCGCUUAUGCCAUUGUAAACUAGCUACUCUGUGCCUUCUUGUUAUCAGGAAUUAGCCUUGUUAUGGAAUUAAUCGUUUGUCUGAUUGCUGAGAGGACUAUUACACCAGAAAGUGAUUGUUUUUCUCGUCCAAUGGAAAGUGUUCCAACUAGUGGACUCAACAUUGCAUCCCAACUAAACCUGGAGGCAGAUUAAUGGAACAAUCAUCAACAAAUUUCAGGAUGGAAGGUCCACAAAUUCACACUUCUCUGUCUGGUCCCCAUUAUGAUAUCCUUCCACAUUUUCCAGUCAGCAGAAGCUUUUUUCUAGCACCAGAGAUUAAUGCUACCCAUGGUCACUCUAGUCACUACAACAGAUAUUUUGUCCAUGAAUUUGGGGGUGUUCUUGCAGAUGGUUCUGUUGGCACAAGAAGUGGACCAUUCAAAAGAAAAAGCGCUAGCAUUUCCAUAUCAUGUGAAAGAGGUAGUACAAGCAAAUCUUAUGGUGCAGGAAGUUCCUCCAACUCUUUUCAACUUCAGCUGGAGAAACCAAGUUCAGAGUAUAGAAAUUACUCUAGUCUCCAUCGGCUUACCUCCUCAUAGGGAUGGCAGCUUGUCAAUUGGUCCUGAAGAUGCUUCAAGGAAUGUGAGAAGCAGAUCUAGAAUUGAUCUGGAACCUAAUCCUAGGAGAACUUAUUCAUCAAUUUAUUCUUCUCAACCUUAUUUUUCAACCUCUCAUCUGCAAGACUGUCAUGGACUAGCAGAGGUUGCUAAUAUAAACACAGAUGCAACUGCUUACGAGCAGAACCAUAUUGGGUUUCCUCCCGCACACGCAAGAUUUCAAACUUCAGCAAAUAAUUCCUUGAGCCAUGAGAUGAAUCAUUAUUAUCAAGGGAAUACUCCUGAUGUUGGUGGGUACUACUUCGAGUCCAUCUCAAGGAGAAAUCCUGUUACACUACCGCCAUAUCUUCAUGGUGUCCAUUCUCGCUUGUCGAGGGAGGGCCAUAGCAGUUUUCCUCAAAGAGCUCUUCCUUCUCACACAAAUGAUUUAAUCUUUCCCACUUUGGGACAAGAAGCAGCUGCUUCAGAAAGUGGUCAGCAGUUUCUUUUGGAUACUUACCCUUCCAGAUAUUUGAGGCCACUGUCUGCUGGGGGCUGGCGCAGCAGUCACACGCAAGGAAGGUCAAAUGUAGCUUUCGAGAGAUCCCACUCACUUUCUAAUGCAGUGCAUGUACAUGAUAGAAUGGGAUCUGAGGCUUUGAUGAUGUUAGAUCACUCGUAUUUAUAUGGUUCCAGAAAUUUAUUUGAUCAAUAUAGGGACAUAAGACUAGACAUUGACAACAUGAAUUAUGAGGAACUACUUGCUUUAGGAGAACGGAUAGGGAAUGUGAACACAGGAUUGUCUAGCAAGGUGAUUUCAGAGUGCUUAAUGGAGACAAUAUUCACAUCAGACAAAAAUCCAGAGGAAGCAUCCUGUGCCAUCUGCCUUGAAGAGUACAAGAAAAUGGAUGAAGUUGGGACAAUGAGGAACUGUGGACAUGACUAUCAUGUGGCUUGCAUCGAGAAAUGGUUAUCAAUGAAGAAUGCCUGCCCCAUCUGCAAAGCACCUGCUUUCUCUGAAAGUUCAAAUGGGCAAUGACUCCAUUUUACCUCAUUCCUGUAAAUCACUGUUUAUAAGAGACUUGAUUUGAAUCGUUUCUCACACACUCAACCUUGCAAUAAAUGCAUAGUACUCUCAAUAGGUUUCCCGUUUUAAUAGUAUUCUUACUGUAACAUGCUAUAAGAGUUGGCCAGCUGGGGUGGGAUCCACCUGUCCGCACAAAAUCUGAAGGUCGAAGAUCAUGCUUGGUACCAUAUAAUAAAAAUUAUAAUAUAAUCAUAGUUAAAUUGUAUAUUAGAUUACAUUAUUUGUUAUUUAGUAACACAAAAAAAAAUGAUGUAAUAGAAUAAUAAUUACAUAAAG
rnacentral:misc_RNA from 1 species